GUGGGGAAUUUUGCGCAAUGGGCGAAAGCCUGACGCAGCAACGCCGCGUGGGUGAUGAAGGUCUUCGGAUUGUAAAACCCUGUCGCCAGGGACGAAGGGGAUGAGGUUAAUAGCCUUGUUCUUUGACGGUACCUGGAAAGGAAGCCCCGGCUAACUCUGUGCCAGCAGCCGCGGUAAUACAGAGGGGGCAAGCGUUAUUCGGAAUUAUUGGGCGUAAAGGGCGCGUAGGCGGUUUUUUAAGUCGGAUGUGCAAUCCCUGGGCUCAACCCAGGAACUGCAUCCGAGACUGGAAGGCUAGAGUACUGGAGAGGGUGGUGGAAUUCCUCGUGUAGCGGUGAAAUGCGUAGAGAUGAGGAGGAACACCAGUGGCGAAGGCGGCCACCUGGACAGUAACUGACGCUGAGGCGCGAAAGCGUGGGUAGCAAACAGGAUUAGAUACCCCAGUAGUCC
rnacentral:rRNA from 1 species